GGGAUGUAGCUCAGUGGCUAGAGCAUCUGACUGUUAAUCAGAGUGUCGCCAGUUCAACUCUGGCUAGG
rnacentral:tRNA from 1 species